UGUUCAGAUGAUGUCUGUUUGGAUUUGCUCUCCGACACAACUGAAAGAAACUAACCGAAGUAAGCAUGGGUCCGAACCUGGAAUGUCGUAUGUACGAGGCGAAGUACCCGGAGGUGGACAUGGCGGUGAUGAUACAGGUGAAGAACAUCGCUGACAUGGGUGCCUACGUGUCGCUUCUGGAGUAUAACAACAUCGAGGGCAUGAUCUUGUUCUCAGAGCUCUCCCGCCGUCGAAUUCGGAGCGUCAGCAGCCUCAUCAAGGUGGGGCGCAUCGAGCCCGUCAUGGUCCUCCGUGUCGACAAGGAAAAGGGCUACAUCGAUCUCAGCAAGCGCAGGGUCUCCGAAGAGGAUAUACAGGCCUGCGAGGAGAGGUACAACAAGAGCAAGCUCGUCCAUUCCAUCAUGCGCCACGUCGCCGAAACCCUAAACAUCGAUUUGGAGGACCUCUACAUUCACAUUGCAUGGCCUUUGUAUCGCAAAUAUGGUCAUGCUUUUGAGGCUUUCAAAAUAAUUGUGACUGAUCCUGAUUCUGUUUUGAAUACUCUCAUCCGUGAGGUCAAGGAAGUUGGCCCUGAUGGGCAGGAGGUGACUAAGGUAGUGCCAGCUGUUUCUGAAGAAGUGAAGGAUUCUCUUGUGAAGAAUAUUAGAAGACGGAUGACCCCCCAGCCCUUGAAAAUUAGGGCGGAUAUUGAACUGAAAUGUUUUCAAUUUGAUGGCGUUCUUCAUAUCAAGGAGGCAAUGCGUAGAGCUGAAGCUGCUGGAAACGACGACUGCCCUGUCAAAAUUAAACUUGUUGCUCCCCCACUUUAUGUUCUUACCACUCAGACACUGGACAAGGAGCAAGGAAUAUUGGUUCUAAACAAUGCCAUUAACGCUUGCACUCAAGCAAUAGAGCAACACAAGGGUAAACUUGUGGUUAAAGAAGGAGCUAGAGCAGUGAGUGAACGUGAUGAUAAAUUGCUUGCUGAGCACAUGGCCAAGUUACGCCAAGAUAAUGAGGAGGUAAGUGGUGAUGAAGACAGUGAAGAGGAAGAAGAUACAGGAAUGGGUGAGGUUGAUGUGGAUAACGGUUCUGGGAUAACAGAGUGAAAAACUUGUGGGUAUUGUAAGGCAUCGAUAGCAGAAUACGACUUUACUAAUCGAGAUUGGAGUUUAUUGAUGAGGAUGUUCAACCCAAACUAAGGAGUUUCUCAGCUCUUUCUUUCUCUUCCCAUGUUCUCUCUGGUUUUUGCUAUUGAUUAGUGGAUACUUGCCAAGGCAAUUCUCUUAGCUAGCACUAAUUGCUUGCACUUUCUAUUUGAAAUUGUAUUAAUUUUUGCUCGAUUAUUUAUAAAUACAUAGUAUCCUUUACGUGCA